rnacentral:rRNA from 1 species
GUCGAACGAUGAAGCCCAGCUUGCUGGGUGGAUUAGUGGCGAACGGGUGAGUAACACGUGAGUGACCUGCCCUUAGCUCUGGGAUAAGCCUGGGAAACUGGGUCUAAUACCGUAUAGGAGCGUCCACCGCAUGGUGGGUGUUGGAAAGAUUUAUCGGUUUUGGAUGGACUCGCGGCCUAUCAGCUUGUUGGUGAGGUAAUGGCUCACCAAGGCGACGACGGGUAGCCGGCCUGAGAGGGUGACCGGCCACACUGGGACUGAGACACGGCCCAGACUCCUACGGGAGGCAGCAGUGGGGAAUAUUGCACAAUGGGCGCAAGCCUGAUGCAGCGACGCCGCGUGAGGGAUGACGGCCUUCGGGUUGUAAACCUCUUUCAGUAGGGAAGAAGCGAAAGUGACGGUACCUGCAGAAGAAGCACCGGCUAACUACGUGCCAGCAGCCGCGGUAAUACGUAGGGUGCGAGCGUUAUCCGGAAUUAUUGGGCGUAAAGAGCUCGUAGGCGGUUUGUCGCGUCUGUCGUGAAAGUCCGGGGCUUAACCCCGGAUCUGCGGUGGGUACGGGCAGACUAGAGUGCAGUAGGGGAGACUGGAAUUCCUGGUGUAGCGGUGGAAUGCGCAGAUAUCAGGAGGAACACCGAUGGCGAAGGCAGGUCUCUGGGCUGUAACCGACGCUGAGGAGCGAAAGCAUGGGGAGCGAACAGGAUUAGAUACCCUGGUAGUCCAUGCCGUAAACGUUGGGCACUAGGUGUGGGGACCAUUCCACGGUUUCCGCGCCGCAGCUAACGCAUUAAGUGCCCCGCCUGGGGAGUACGGCCGCAAGGCUAAAACUCAAAGGAAUUGACGGGGGCCCGCACAAGCGGCGGAGCAUGCGGAUUAAUUCGAUGCAACGCGAAGAACCUUACCAAGGCUUGACAUGUUCUCGAUCGCCGUAGAGAUACGGUUUCCCCUUUGGGGCGGGUUCACAGGUGGUGCAUGGUUGUCGUCAGCUCGUGUCGUGAGAUGUUGGGUUAAGUCCCGCAACGAGCGCAACCCUCGUUCCAUGUUGCCAGCACGUCGUGGUGGGGACUCAUGGGAGACUGCCGGGGUCAACUCGGAGGAAGGUGAGGACGACGUCAAAUCAUCAUGCCCCUUAUGUCUUGGGCUUCACGCAUGCUACAAUGGCCGGUACAAUGGGUUGCGAUACUGUGAGGUGGAGCUAAUCCCAAAAAGCCGGUCUCAGUUCGGAUUGGGGUCUGCAACUCGACCCCAUGAAGUGGAGUCGCUAGUAAUCGCAGAUCAGCAACGUGCGGUGAAUACGUUCCCGGGCCUUCACACACCGCCCGUCAAGUCACGAAAGUUUGUAACACCCGAAGCCGGUGGCCUAACCC